rnacentral:rRNA from 1 species
GCUAAACGCGAAGAACCUUACCAGGCCUUGACAUGCACUAGACCGACUCUGAAAGGAGUCUUCCCUUCGGGGCUGGUGCACAGGUGCUGCAUGGCUGUCGUCAGCUCGUGUCGUGAGAUGUUGCGUUAAGUCGCGCAACGAGCGCAACCCCUGUCCUUAGUUGCCAUCAGGUAAAGCUGGGCACUCUAGGGAGACAAACCCUCUCUGAGGGUGGGAAGGUGGGGAUGACGUCAAGUCAGGAUGGCCCUUACGGCCUGGGCUACACACGUGCUACAAUGGGCGCUACAAAGGGCUGCAAGACCGCGAGGUGGAGCCAAUCCCUAAAAGCCGUCUCAGUUCAGAUUGUAGUCUGCAGCUCGACUACAUGAAGUUGGAAUCGCUAGUAAUCGUGAAUCAGCAUGUCACGGUGAAUACGUUCCCGGGUCUUGUACACACCG